GUUUGCUCCAGCAGAACAUAUACUAAAAUUGGAACAAUAGAGAGAAGAUUACCAUGGCCCCAUGUGCAAGGGUAACACGCAAAUUCAUGAAGCAUUCCAUAUUUUU